GUCAAGAUGUCCGAGUGGUUAAGGAGUGAGACUUGAAUGCGCCAGUCGCAGAUGAUAUCUCAUGGCUUCGGCCGCGCAGGUUCGAACCCUGUUCUUGACG
rfam:Pyronema omphalodes CBS 100304, CBS100304, WGS project CATG01000000 data, contig: Pcon_v1_contig1387